rnacentral:rRNA from 1 species
GACGCGAGCGUUAUCCGGAUUUACUGGGCGUAAAGCGUCUGUAGGCGGAUGUGUAAGUUGGGCGUGAAAGCUCCGGGCUUAACCCGGAGAGGCCGUUCAAUACUGCAUAACUUGAGGGUGUCAGAGGGGAGCGGAAUUCCCGGUGUAGCGGUAAAAUGCGCAGAGAUCGGGAGGAACACCAGUGGCGGAGGCGGUUCCCGGGGGCACACCUGACGCUGAGAGACGAAAGCUAGGGGAGCGAACAGGAUUAGAGACCCUGGUAGUCCUAGCCCUAAACGAUGAAUGCUAGGUGUGGGAUCGAAUGGUUCCGUGCCGGAGCGAACGCGAUAAGCAUUCCGCCUGGGGAGUACGGCCGCAAGGUUAAAACUCAAACGAAUUGACGGGGCCCCGCACAAGCAACGGAGCGUGUGGUUUAAUUCGAUGCUACACGAAGAACCUUACCUGGGUUUGACAUGUAGGUGGUAGUGAAUCGAAAGGUGAACGACCCUUCGGGGAGCCUACACAGGUGCUGCAUGGCUGUCGUCAGCUCGUGCCGUGAGGUGUCGGGUUAAGUCCCGUAACGAGCGCAACCCUUGCUCCUAGUUACAAGUGUCUAGGGGGACUGCCGGCGGAAAGCCGGAGGAAGGUGGGGAUGACGUCAAGUCAGCAUGGCCCUUAUAUCCAGGGCUACACACACGCUACAAUGGUCGGUACAAAGGGCAGCGAAACCGCGAGGCGGAGCGAAUCCGAGAAAAGCCGAUCGUAGUUCGGAUAGCAGGCUGCAACCCGCCUGCUGAAGCUGGAGU